AUGGCAGUGUUUAACAAGUUUCAUCAGGUGGCUGGGCAAAAUUUUCAAGAGAUCAACACGGCCCUGAUUACGCUACUGCCAAAGAAGAAUGGAGCUUCGGAGGUCAACCAUUAUCGACCAAUCAGCUUGAUCCACUCUAUUGCUAAGCUAAUCUCCAAAGUGCUCUCUGCAAGGCUGGCGGGGGCCCUGGAUAAAAUGAUCUCACCGGCGCAGACUGCAUUUCAGAAAGGCAAAUGCAUCCACGAGAGCUAUCAGUACAUGCAAAGCUGCGUUCGGAUGUUGCAUAGGACGAAGAAAAAGGCACUUUUCUUCAAACUCGACAUAGCAAAGGCUUUUGAUUCGGUGUCAUGGGAGUACUUGCUCGAGCUCAAGCAAAAAAUGGGUUUCCCUCCGAGAUGGAGAAACUGGAUAGCGCUGCUACUCUCGUCUGCCACCUCCUCCUGCUUGCUCAACGGAACGCAGGGCCAAUCAAUAUAUCAUGGUUGUGGUUUUAGGCAGGGUGAUCCACUGUCCCUGUUGCUUUUCAUCCUGGCGAUAGACCCUCUUCACCACCUCCUUCAAGCUGCUGCAGAGGAAGAGAUGAUCGCUCAGCUGCCAGGCCAUGGGAUCAGCAUGCGGAUUAGCUUAUACACUGAUGACGCCGUCAUUUUUGCCAACCCGGUGUAG
rnacentral:rRNA from 1 species